rnacentral:rRNA from 1 species
GUGCAAUGGCAUAAGCCAGCUUGACUGCGAGCGUGACGGCGCGAGCAGGUGCGAAAGCAGGUCAUAGUGAUCCGGUGGUUCUGAAUGGAAGGGCCAUCGCUCAACGGAUAAAAGGUACUCCGGGGAUAACAGGCUGAUACCGCCCAAGAGUUCAUAUCGACGGCGGUGUUUGGCACCUCGAUGUCGGCUCAUCACAUCCUGGGGCUGAAGUAGGUCCCAAGGGUAUGGCUGUUCGCCAUUUAAAGUGGUACGCGAGCUGGGUUUAGAACGUCGUGAGACAGUUCGGUCCCUAUCUGCCGUGGGCGCUGGAGAACUGAGGGGGGCUGCUCCUAGUACGAGAGGACCGGAGUGGACGCAUCACUGGUGUUCGGGUUGUCAUGCCAAUGGCACUGCCCGGUAGCUAAAUGCGGAAGAGAUAAGUGCUGAAAGCAUCUAAGCACGAAACUUGCCCCGAGAU